rnacentral:rRNA from 1 species
UACAGAGGGGGCAAGCGUUGUUCGGAAUUACUGGGCGUAAAGGGCGCGUAGGCGGCCUUCUAAGUCGAACGUGAAAUCCCCGGGCUCAACCCGGGAACUGCGUCCGAUACUGGAAGGCUUGAAUCCGGGAGAGGGAUGCGGAAUUCCAGGUGUAGCGGUGAAAUGCGUAGAUAUCUGGAGGAACACCGGUGGCGAAGGGGCCCAACUGGUACGCAACUGACGCUGAGGCACGAAAGCGUGGGGAGCAAACAGG